rnacentral:rRNA from 1 species
CCUACGGGUGACAGCAGUGGGGAAUAUUGCACAAUGGGCGAAAGCCUGAUGCAGCAACGCCGCGUGAAGGAAGAAGGGUUUCGGCUCGUAAACUUCUAUCAACAGGGACGAAAGAAAUGACGGUACCGGAAUAAGAAGCCCCGGCUAACUACGUGCCAGCAGCCGCGGUAAUACGGAGGGUGCGAGCGUUAAUCGGAAUUACUGGGCGUAAAGCGCUCGUAGGCGGUAUGUCAAGUCAAGGGUGAAAUCCCCGCGCUCAACGUGGGAACUGCCUUUGAAACUGGCAAACUGGAGUGUGUGAGAGGAUAGUGGAAUUCCAGGUGUAGGCGUGAAAUCCGUAGAUAUCUGGAGGAACAUCAGUGGCGAAGGCGACUCUCUGGCACAUACCUGACGCUGAGGAGCGAAAGCGUGGGUAGCAAACAGGAUUAGAUACCCUAGUAGUC